CACCAAAUAGCUAGCCCACCCAAUAUAACUAAUUAUACUGAAUAAAACAUAAUAAACUAAUUCUUAUAAAAUAAAUCAUUUCUUAACCUAAAGUAUAGGAGAUUGAAUAGGAUAAAAGGAGCUAUAGACAAAGUACCGCAAGGGAAUGCUGAAAUAGAAAUGAAAAACCCAGUUAAGUAUAAUAAAACAGAGAUUUAUCCUCGUACCUUUUGCAUCAUGAUUUAGUGAGCAUCUAAAGCGAAAUGUUUUUUAGCUUACAGCCCCGAAACCAGGCGAGCUACUCCAAGACGGUCUACUAUUAGGACCCACCCCCGGCUCUGUUGCAAAAGAGUGGGGAGAGCUUCGAGUAGAGGUAACAAGCCUACCGAGCCUGAUGAUAGCUGGUUAUCUGAAAAAUGGAUAUGAGUUCAGCCCUUAAUAUUUCUUAAAACCCCUAAGGCCCUGUCUUUAAAGUAGUAAAGAAACUUAAGGAGUUAGUCAAAGGAGGAACAGCUCCUUUGACAAAAGAAUCAACUUUUCUAAGAGGUUAAAGGUCCUAUUCAAAAAGGUUAAAAACUAGGGUGGGCUUAGAAGCAGCCAGCCCCUUCAAAAGCGUUAAAGCUCAAGCAAAUAUUACACCUAUAAUUUAGAUAUUACCCCUAAAACCCUUAUAUUCCCUACCAGAUUCUCCUAUGCAAACAUAGGAAAAAAUAUGCUAAUAUGAGUAACUAGAGAAAGACUCUCUCCAAGCACAAGUGUACAUCGGAACGGACACUCCACCGAAAUUUAAUGCCCCCAAACCACAGAGUGAACUGAAAUAUAACUACAAAACAAGAAAAAUCUCCUUAUACCUUUGCAUUACCCUAACACAAGCGUGCUUUCUAGGAAAGAUUAAAAGAAAAGGAAGGAACUCGGCAAACACAAGCCUCGCCUGUUUACCAAAAACACCGCCUCCUGCACUCAACAGUAUAGGAGGUCCUGCCUGCCCAGUGACAUAGUUUAACGGCCGCGGUAUUUUGACCGUGCGAAGGUAGCGUAAUCACUUGUCUUUUAAAUGAAGACCUGUAUGAAUGGCAAAACGAGGGCUUAACUGUCUCCCUUUUUUAAUCAGUGAAAUUGAUCUCCCCGUGCAGAAGCGGGGAUAAAAUCAUAAGACAAAAAGACCCUGUGGAGCUUUAAACACAAGAGAGGAAUACCCCCAACUCGCCUUUUUAGAUUGCUAGACUAUGUAUUUUACCUCCCUCUCCACUGUUUUCGGUUGGGGCGACCGCGGUGUACUAAAUAACCCCCGCGAGGACAGAAACCACUGUUUUUACAGAGAAGAACCACAGUUCUUCCACACAAAACUUUUGACCACCAGAUCCGGCAAAUAGCCGAUUAACGAACCAAGUUACCCCAGGGAUAACAGCGCAAUCCCCUUCCAGAGCCCAUAUCGACGAGGGGGUUUACGACCUCGAUGUUGGAUCAGGACAUCCUAAUGGUGCAGCCGCUAUUAAGGGUUCGUUUGUUCAACGAUUAAAGUCCUACGUGAUCUGAGUUCAGACCGGAGUAAUCCAGGUCAGUUUUUACCUAUGCAGCAUCCUUUCCUAGUACGAAAGGAAUGGAAAGCAGUGGCCCCUGCUCCAAGCACGCCACCCUUUUACCCAAUGAAAACAUCUCAAUUGGAUAAAAAUGCACACCCCUGCUUCUUCAAAAGAAAACUGCU
rnacentral:rRNA from 1 species